rnacentral:rRNA from 1 species
GACGAACGCUGGCGGCGUGCUUAACACAUGCAAGUCGAACGAUGAAGCGCUGUCUUUUUGGUGGUGUGGAUUAGUGGCGAACGGGUGAGUAAUACGCGGGAAACCUGCCCCUCUGCUUCUGGAUAACCUUUGGAAACGGUGUCUAAUCCCUGAUUUG